rnacentral:rRNA from 1 species
GCUCCAAUAGCGUAUAUUAAAGUUGUUGCAGUUAAAAAGCUCGUAGUUGGAUUUCUGAUGAAGAUGGCGGUCCGUGUAUUUUAUACAUGUGUACCGUUAUAAUAAUUUUCAUCAUACUUGUAUUUUUAUAGUUUACUAUAUGAAUACAUCAUUUACUGUGAACAAAUUAGAGUGUUUAAAGCAGGCAAUUGCUUGAAUAC